CCGUGUCAUUGCCUCUUAUACAAAACAAACUCAACCCGUGGAUGGGAAAGACACGUGUUUAAAAAGUAUUAUUUGUUCUCACUCUCCCGCAUCCUGUCUUUCAGUAGGAGAAACGGCCGCGGAGUCUGUCACAAAUUGGCAGAACGUGGAGAGGAGGCGAGGGCCACUGCUAAAGCACAACAUUGCUUCACAGAAACCAGCGUCCUUGGACCUAUUAUACGGCGACGUCUGUCUAGUAGAAGAACUGUCCUUCACAAACCUAUACUCACCAGCAAAACAACCAUGCGCAAAUGAAGAGAUUAAUGACAGAUCUGAGGCGAUCCGUCUUUCUAUAGAAUCACAGUGUUAUCUCGCACGCAAACCCUGUCAAAAAGGGUGCCUUUGUCUGAGCAGGCAUAGACUACUAGAUCUGUCCGGUCCCGGUGCUUUGAGGAUUAAUUUUUUUUUUUUAAUCCUGUCAAGAUUCCCGGGGUAACUUGCCUGGCUGACACCAGCUCUCAAAGUUCUACUGUCGACGUGUCUGGUUGCGUCAGCCAAGCUAUGAGGAACAACUCACAGAGCAACUUGGGUCUACUGGCUUUCUCAGGGACAAAACAACAGACUGUUCACGAUUCCGGUUUGUUUAUUCAAUGUAGCGAUUUCUCGAUUACUGGUCAGAUGCUCUAUCCAGUAGGCCACCUGCUGCACUCCAUCAACCUCUCAACGCAACCCUCUAAACCAACAUAACAUCAUCAUAAUUAAGCUACUUACCACACACUUCCAAACCAUUAUAAUUACUACCACUGAACACCAUGUCCUAAAGUCUGUCUUUUAAAACACAUGGUAUGUUGGCCUGGUAGAACAGUAGUUAGUUCUAGGGCUUAAUCUGUGUCUGGGGAAACUGGCUCCUAAUGAUUCAUAAGACAGAGACGGUCCUUCAUCUACUUGGGUUGGCAUUUGUUUGAUGGCGGGGGGGAACACGAGGGCAUGUCUCUGUCACGAGAACAACCUGGAAAGACAAAGCAAGGCAAGUGAACAACGGCCCGAGGGAUCCAGAAUGUCUGGUGGUUGCUCGUUUCAUACAGGGCACGGUGCCAGUAACUGUUGUCCAGCCCUUGAGCAAGGCAGGUAACCUAUAGGGUUCCAAGGUGGCCAUUAAUAACAGCUGUGUCUUAAUGUGAUAGGCAAAUAAGAAAUGUUUUGUAUAAUACACAAUGUACAUGUGUGAAAUAGAACAAAUGCAGCCACCCAUUGUUAUUAUUGUUGUUAGUAUUAUUAUGUUAUUGUGACUAAGGUUCUAUGUGUUGUUGCCUUGUCGUGUUCUAGUGACUCCUUCUGGUUGAUUUGGGCACCUGCAAGCUUAACUGUGGCCAUUAACCAGUGAAGUGCCAUUGGUUCUUGGUUGAGGGAGCAGUGUUAUAAGCGUUAUGGUCUGGAGGGAUAGGCUCAGGAGGACACAUGUCCUUGACUCCUGAACCAGUUCGAAGCUGCUGCCAAUUCAAAAUUAAAUAAACAACUGCCUCACAACUGGGUUUUGUCUGCUAAUCAUCUGUUACAGCGUCAGUGUCUAGUGCUGUUAUAGGAUCAGGUCCCCUCUGUCUUUGUUCAGCAUGAUCUAAAUGUAAACACUCUUCGUAGACCCUGCUUUUUAAACACGGGCCCAGAUAGUCAUUGAGAAAAUAAUCAGAGGAAAGUUUGGCGUGUGUAGGCAUCCUCCUCCGCUUAGCAUAGUGACUUUGAUUGAUAACUAUAUAAACUGUC
ensembl:lncRNA